UAAUUUAAAAUCACGAGAAAAUUGCCAUUAGUCAAAGUACUAUGGCCCAGUGGGCGCCGAGCAGUACGGGUUAUGGGCCCGAAAACUGUAAGGCUGCGUAAACGAGUUUCUGCAGCUGCCGGAAUGAGGGGAGUGACUUUUUAUACUCCUGGAAGUCUUAUUUCCAAUCAUUUACAACAAGUGCCGCCACACUUAGAAUUUAUUUCCCACCCUCAGCUAAUGUAAUUUUUAAUUGUUUUCACACGUUGGGAAUUGCAACUCUAAUACCAAUUUGAAAAUUUGUAAACUAUGAGAUGUUAAACAGGAAACGUUUAGAUGUUAUUGAUCAUGUGGGAAAUGCCGAUGCGCCAUCUGUUCCUAUCGCCUUUAUUUGUACAGUGAACUUGAAUAAUGGGCUGUUCUCGAUGCUGUCGGAUAAGGAGUUGUUGCUGCUUAUCAGUCAGGGUCUGGAGCCACAUCGUCGGUUGGUUAUGCGUCAUUCAAGGUGCUAUAGGUCUGACCUUUAUUGCGCGGUUCUUGGUGCAUUCCAGGUCAUUUUUAGAAAUUGCUAUGUUUUCCCCCGGAGUGAUAUUUUUCUUCUUCUUAUUGGCAGCUGGAUUUUGUGUUCUCCUGGGGAUUUGGGCGGAGAGCGUCACAGUGCUGGAUGGUGCUUAUUGCAUAUUUUGGAUUAUGAUUUUGUUAUCAAUAUUUGCAGGCAUUGGACUAGGUAUAGCGUUUAUGCACAUUGAGAUGACGUCCGCUUGCUAUGCUCCAGUUAUAGGACUAGGCGUAUACAAUUGCGUUAUAUCAGUUUUCAUGAUCGUAGUUAACAGUUACAAGUUCGAAAAGCAAGACGAAGAAGAGGCGGAAUAUUACGAUGAUUAUUAUUAAUAUGGACAAUAUUUUUUUUACAAGCCGUAUUGUAUGAAAUGCAUUUCGAAAUAAAGCAACAAGAUGUUGUGCCUGGUCGACACUUGCUGUGUCAUCAGAUCGCUACAAAGCGGUGGGAAACUCAUUGGUUGGAUCAUGGCCGCUGGCGGCCUGAUAGGAAUUUUCAUGCAAGUGAAUCAGAUCGUCCACGGCUCCGUAGAUUGGUCCGUUGUCCUCUGCAUUUUGUACUUCAUUUGGAAUACCAUUGUCGGGGUUAUAAGUUUCGUUGCUUAUAAAUUGGACCGGAUGGAUUUAAUGGAAAAGAACAAUUAUGCUUUAUUGGGGGCAGUCAUCUUUGGUGCUUUAAUAUCCCUCGCUAUUGGAAUAGGUGGUUUAGUCGGCUGGCUAAAACACCAACCCAUACCCGUAAUGAUACUACUUUUAUCUUGGG
rnacentral:lncRNA from 1 species